UACCAGCACCCCGAGUGGUCGGGACGAUUAUUGGGCCUAAAGCAUCCGUAGCCGGUUCUACAAGUCUUCCGUUAAAUCCACCUGCUUAACAGAUGGGCUGCGGAGGAUACUAUGGAGCUAGGAGGCGGGAGAGGCAAGCGGUACUUAGUGGGUAGGGGUAAAAUCCGUUGAUCCAUUGAAGACCACCAGCGGCGAAGGCGGCUUGCCAGAACGCACUCGACGGUGAGGGAUGAAAGCUGGGGGAGCAAACCGG
rnacentral:rRNA from 1 species